AGGACGAACGCUGGCGGCGUGCUUAACACAUGCAAGUCGAGCGGAAAGGCCCUUCGGGGUACUCGAGCGGCGAACGGGUGAGUAACACGUGAGUAAUCUGCCCCUAGCUCUGGGAUAGCUCCGGGAAACCGGGAUUAAUACCGGAUACGACCACCUUAGACAUCUUUUGUGGUGGAAAGGAUUCCGGCUAGGGAUGGGCUCGCGGCCUAUCAGCUUGUUGGUGGGGUAACGGCCUACCAAGGCGACGACGGGUAG
rnacentral:rRNA from 1 species